UACGGAGGGGGCUAGCGUUGUUCGGAAUUACUGGGCGUAAAGCGCACGUAGGCGGAUUGUUAAGUGAGGGGUGAAAUCCCAGGGCUCAACCCUGGAACUGCCUUUCAUACUGGCAAUCUCGAGUCCGGAAGAGGUGAGUGGAACUCCUAGUGUAGAGGUGGAAUUCGUAGAUAUUAGGAAGAACACCAGUGGCGAAGGCGGCUCACUGGUCCGGUACUGACGCUGAGGUGCGAAAGCGUGGGGAGCAAACAGG
rnacentral:rRNA from 1 species